UGUGUGUGUGUGUGUGUGUGUGUGUGUGUGUGUGUGUGUGUGUGUGUGUGUUGGUAGACAUGGUAUUCAGGGACAAUUUACCCGUUUACACACCAGCAAUCCGCGGACCUUAGGGUAAUUUGAGGACUAUGCCAAGGUCCCCGAAUUUCAAACAAUUUAUUUGCAUUCGUGAGUGUCUGAGGAACAUCCUCUCUCAUUUUCGUUCAUAGUCCUUUUUUACCAUAAACCUGUUUUUCGGUGUAUCCCAGUGUAUAGCACAGCGCAACCUAUCUGUGGUGCUUAUACUGCACUCUCAUACACAUUUCUGACACACACGGUUCGAUUUUGCCGCCCUUUUCACUGAUUGGUUGGUUUGAAAAGUGGGUGGCGUCUACAGGCAGUUCGCUCCAAGGACCGCCCCGACUGACGGCAUUUAAUCUUUAAAGCCCAUUUGAAGCAGCUGGCGACCUAAUGGAAGCAGUAGAGGAUUUAAAACAUACAGUGAAUCAUGCAGAGGCGAAGGCGCAUUAAUCUCCAGAAAUCUGGAGGGAUGUCAUCAGAUGUCCAACAUGGUGAGGUACCAUCCACAUCAAAGCUUUCUACAAGAACUCAAAAGAGGUCAACACAUAAGGCCCAAAAAAAGAUGCCUGCAGGGACAUCAGCUGGUCGUCUUGAAUGCUUUAUUAAGAUGACGACCGAAAGAGGCCAGAUUGAGAUGACUGCAAGCAACCUGAACCAGUCAAGUCCAGUGCUUGAUCCAAUCACAAGGAUUGGACAGAUGACGACCGAAAGAGGCCAGAUUGAGAUGACUGCAAGCAACCUGAACCAGUCAAGUCCAGUGCUUGAUCCAAUCACAAGGAUUGGACAGUGUCCGAAACAUCGCCUAGUGUGCGCAACAAUAGGCUCCUUGGACAAGUGUGU